UGGGUCUUGCUGGGCUGCGGCAGUGAGCCCGAAGUGGGUGUCUGAAGGACUGAGCGACCUUGACACCAGCCUGACACAACGGGCCAUUCUUGCAGCAGGCUGGACGGAAUGAGUCAUUGAGGCACUGUAGUCUGGGACUUUGUCUUGCACCCUCCACCCACCCUCUUUUCCCUCCCCUUCCCCAUCUGUGUGUGGCCACCAACCGAAAGGUCUAUUGCUGUAUACCACCGAUAGCUCCCGAAAAUCUAGAGAGGCCUCCUUGACUCCACAAAGGAGCCUCUAUGCUCUGGACGGGAGCGUCUGAAUGGGAGCCUUCUUUUCUCUGUAACAUCAAUGGGGCUCCUUCUGCGCGCUCUGUAGACUUGGGCCUUCAAAGAACCAUCCCUGUGGCGUUUGAGGCCAUAGCACUCCCCUCCUAUGGCCUUCCGUUCUCAUUUCAAAUCACAACACUGGCGGCUCGUAACGGACGAGGCUCUCGCCAAGAACGGGAUGGAGUUCCUUUGGCUGAUCCUGACACUCUGCGCCCUGGUCAAAACCAACCCAGCAGAUGUAAUCACGAACGGACCCCCUAAGGGAAUCGUUCUCCGCAAUGAUCCAGGAUUCCUUAUAACUAACUGCAGAGUACUAACGCAGAGGGUGUUCGUCCGCCUAGAUGCAGAGAACAUGUACCGCCAACACAUUCCACCUUCGGCGCAUUUGAGUUGGACUGGGGCUGACUGGACCACCUAGGCAGAGGACCUGAACGCUGGGACUAUGCCUCAGGACUACCUGGCCAGAUGACUCCUUGCUGUCCCCAGUUCACCUGGUCAUGCUGCUGCUCCAGUUUCAACGGUUCUGCCUGCGACUAUGGAACCCUUACCUGUUCACCGGAUGUGCUACCUUGUCUCGGACCUGCCUUUUUAGACUCUCUCUACCGCACCUGCUCUCUCUAACUCUGAAUGAUCGGCUAUGAAAAGACAACUGACAUUUACUCCUGAGGUGCUGACCUGUUGCACCUUCUACAACCACUGUGAUUAUUAUUUUACCCUGCUGGUCAUCUAUGAAUAUUUUAACAUCUUGGCAAUGUACAGUCGUGGCCAAAAGUUUUGACACAAAUAUGAAUUUCCACAAAGUUUGCUGCUUCAGUGUCAUUAGAUAUUUUUGUCAGAUGUUACUAUGGAAUACUCCAAACUAUGGAACGGCUCCAAACUAUGCAAUAAAAGCCUGAAACAAUGUCUAACGACUGUUCACAACUAGUGGAAGCCAUAGGGAACGGAAUCUGGGUCCUAUCUCUUUAAAUUGUGGAUAGAUUUUCAUUGGAAAAACAGCCAUUUCAAGGUAAUGGCACUUCCUGGAUGGAUUUUCCUCAGGUUUUUCCUGGUCCUAGGGCUCAGGUCCUCCGAGAGAGAGAAAGAGAGAAUUAUAGAGAGCAUACUUAAAUUCACACAGGGCGCCGGAUAAGACCGAAGAAGUACUCCAGAUAUAACAAACUGACCCUAGCCCCACGACACAUAAACUACUGCAGCAUAAAUACUGGAGGCUGAGACAGGAGGGGUCAGGAGACACUGUGGCCCCAUCAGAUGAGACCCCCGGACAGGGCCAAACAGGAAGGAUAUAACAUCACCCACUUUGCCAAAGCUCUAAACAAUAUUGUGCUACUGAGGACAAUGUCCCAACUCACAUCCAGGCUGUCAAAGGGCUAUUUGACCAAGAAGGAGAGUGAUGGAGUGCUAUAUCAGAUGACCUGGCCUCCACAAUCACCUGACCUAAACCCAAUUGAGAUGGUUUGGGAUGCGUUGGACCUCAGAGUGGAAAAGAAAAGCAGCCAACAAUUGCUCAGCAUAUGUGGGAACUCCUUCAAGCUGACUGAGAGAAUGCCGAAUUGUGCAAAGCUGUCAUCAAGGCAAAGGGUGGCUACUUUGAAGAAUUUAACAUAUAAAAUAUUUUUUGAUUUGUUUAAUUUUUUUUGUUAACACAUGAUUCCAUAUGUGUUAUUUCAUAGUUUCGAUGUCUUCACUAUUAUUCUACAAUUUAGAAAAUAAGAAAAAUUAAGAAAAAGUAGGUGUGCACACUUUUGACUGGUACUGUACUUUAUGCUCUGGCUCAGCCCAUCAGAUGGCCUGAAUGUGUUUGCAUUGCGGAGAAUAAAAUACGUCCAUGGGUGUGGCGUAGCAUUUGUAAGUUGAGUAAACACAUGGCUCUAUGCAAACUCAAUUUGAUUUAAUACAUUUUGACAUUUUGAGUGAGUUGGAACAACUCAACUUAACAUGUUUGGUCAAUUUAACACAUUUUAUUUACUUGGCUAGAUAAAACAAGUCAUUUUGACUGAAUAUCCAUGUAUGUCAGCCAAUGAGAAGGUUGCUUUGAUUUCCACAGACCAGCUAGGUCACCAUCGCCCGGCACCACCUCUUCAUGGUGAGCAUGUCAUCACGAGUCCACCUGCGGAUUUUUCUGCAGUUGACUAAUCACCCACAAAACCAAAAAUGUGAGUGUUCCCCACUACAGUUAUCAACGGAAAAUCGCUGUGUGUCUCAGGGAAGGGGACAAUGUUCUUGGCUGGAGUUCGACAAGGGAUGGUGUUUUCUGUAUAAAUGUGUAUACAUUUUUCCAAGGCCACUAUGGAAGGCUCAUUUGUUAGUGACAUAUAUAAGGAUUGGAAGCACCUUCACAAUUCAUUCUUCAGGCACCAGGCUAGCAAACGCUACUUUUGCACAGAAUACAUUUGAAGACUACAGUGCAAGCCAUCGCCAUCAAAGCCAAGGCCAUGUUUUAAACCAACUUCGACUUCAUAAAGCCCUUUUUACAUCAGCAGAUGUCACAAAGUGCUAUACAGAAACCCAGCCUACAACCCCAAACAGCAAGCAAUGGAGAUGUAGAAGCACGGUUCAAGGAAAAACUCCCUAGUAUGGCCGGAACCUAGGAAGAAACCUAGAGAGGAACUGGGCUCUGAGGGAUGGCCAGUCCUCCUUUGUCUGCUGGCUCCAUGUGAUCACUAUCAUAUCUCUGUUGAGGAUGCUGAAUUAACCAAAAAGUGGGGGGAGGUCAGGAAUUCCCAUCCCUUAUGAAGUUUUGGACAACUGCAGCCUUGACAUUUUCCCAAACAUCAAUAGACGACUAAUAUUAGGAAUCAAGGUAAGACCCAGAUGCAGACUGUCAAAGUUAACAUGUUUAUUGUGGCAACAGGGCAGGCAAAGACAGGUCAAGGCAGGCAGGGGUCGAACAUCCAGGGUAAGGCAAAGGUACAGGACGGCUGGCAGACUCAGGGUCAGGGACAGGCAGAGUGAUCAGGCAGGCGGGGACAGUGGCAGGACAGGCAAAUGUCAAAACCAGGAAAGAGAGGCUGAGAAACGAUAAGAGCUGACAGGAAAAACGCUGGUUAGCUUGAACGAAUUAGACGAACUGGCAACAGACAGAGAAAACGGGUAUAAAUACACAUGGGAUAAUAGGGAAGAAGGGUGACACCUGGAGGGGGGAUGGAGACAAGCACAAGGACAGGUGAAACAGAAUAGGGCGUGACAACUAAGGGCCAUCAUCACCCUUCCGAUGACUUCAUGAUGUCUGUAUCAAAAUAUCCAUCAAAACAUACCCGCUGUGAUAUCAUUAUGUAAAAUGUUUUCAUUCCUGAAUGCCUAUGCAGUAGUGUUUGCUUAUUCAAAGUGAGCUGUUCGCUUCAUACAGUUCAAGAUAUAAGCCUAAAGGGUUUGUAUUAUAUUGUGUGUGGCUGUUUUCAUAUGGCAAAAUGUGUGCACUUUUGGGCUUAAUGAAAACACUUUCAUGGCUUUCUAUUUCUAUCAUUCCUUGCUUCUUUGUGCAACAAUCUGUUUUCGCAAAUUCCAGUGUCAAGCUGGUGUCCGGGCCGAUUCGCUGACCAUGGUUCUGAAUACACCUAUUGUGCCUGUACUGUAGAUCGCUGCUUUGAAUGGGAGUGGUCGAUAUGAUCUGAUGAUAUGAUGUUAAUUUCAAGAGUUUGGACUGUCAGACUGAACACACCAAUUAUCUGUAUUUUUUGACAGUAUACAUUUAUCACUACUGUUAUCUGCUGCUGUAGAAUCUCUCUCUCUCUCUCUGAAUAUGUAGGUGAUAGACAUGUUGUCUAUUUCAUUAUGGCCUCUUUUGUCAGUGGUGUUGUUAUAAGAGUUUGUGUAGUUCCGCACUUGCACUGCCUAAUUGGCAAUAAUAAGGGGCUUAUUUGUCAAGGGAAAUGUGUGGUGUUUUUUGGUAACAUUUAUCCUGCGUUAUGUGUUAUGUGUUAUGAAUAUGUUGGGGCAUUUUAGCUGUAUUUUUGCUGAAAUAAAGUAUCCCAGACACUUUUA
ensembl:lncRNA